rnacentral:rRNA from 1 species
AGUGAACGCUGGCGGUAGGCCUAAUACAUGCAAGUCGAACGGACGCACAGUAAGAUCUUGCCUCUACGGGUGGCGAGUGGCGGACGGGUGAGGCAUACAUCGGCUUCUUCUUAUACGUGGGGGACAUCGUAGGGACACUUACGCUAAUACCGAAUACGACCUACGGGUGAAUGCAGGGGAUCUUCGGACUUUGCGCGAUUGUUUGAGACGAUGUCGGAUUAGCUAGUUGGCGAGGUAAGGGCCCACCAAGGCGACGAUGCGUAGCUGAUCUGAGAGGAUGAUCAGCCACACUGGAACUGAGACACGGUCCAGACUCCUACGGGAGGCAGCAGUAGGGAAUAUUGGGCAAUGGGCGCAAGCCUGAUCCAGCCAUGCCGCGUGAGUGAUGAAGGCCUUCGGGUCGUAAAGCCCUUUUAUUGGGAAAGAAAAGCUGCGUGAGAAUACCCCGCUGUUCUGACGGUACCCAAAGAGUAAGCACCGGCUAACUUCGUG